UUGUGCCUGGCUCCCUGCAUGCCACACACAGUUCGUCUCAUGGUGAGAUUUCUUAUUGUGGGUGGCGUGUUAGGAGCCAAGCAUAC
rnacentral:pre_miRNA from 1 species